GACGAACGCUGGCGGCGUGCUUAACACAUGCAAGUCGUACGGUAAGGCCCUUUCGGGGGUACACGAGUGGCGCACGGGUGAGUAACACGUGAGUAACCUGCCCACAACUUUGGGAUAACGCUAGGAAACUGGUGCUAAUACUGGAUAUGUGCUCCUGCUGCAUGGUGGGGGUUGGAAAGCUCCGGCGGUUGUGGAUGAACUCGCGGCCUAUCAGCUUGUUGGUGGGGUAGUGGCCUACCAAGGCGGCGACGGGUAGCCGGCCUGAGAGGGUGACCGGCCACAUUGGGACUGAGAUACGGCCCAGACUCCUACGGGAGGCAGCAGUGGGGAAUAUUGCACAAUGGGCGCAAGCCUGAUGCAGCAACGCCGCGUGCGGGAUGACGGCCUUCGGGUUGUAAACCGCUUUCAGCAGGGACGAAGCUUUUUGUGACGGUACCUGCAGAAGAAGCACCGGCUAACUACGUG
rnacentral:rRNA from 1 species